CCUGACUUUGUUUGCCAGGAGUGAUCACUCUUCAUAUUCAUGAAAGCAUUGAUCACGCUGGUGUGGGAACUAUAAAGCAAUACUGAGGGGAGUCUGAGCACUGGCAUUUUCACUUACAUACCUUUUGAAACUUGAAAUAACCUUAUGAAGUCGGGCUGGCUUGAGAACACAGACUUCAGCAAGGCUGGGGAGCUGGAUCCCAGCAGAACUGUCUCCCCUGGGAAAAUGGAUGGAACUCUGCUAAGGGAAACGCCAACAACAGGCCCAGGGGAAGAGAGAGGAAGACCCCAUGGAGGAUUCAGAUGUUCUUCUGGGUGGAAGAGCCAAAAGCGAAUGUACCAGCGUGUUGUUAGCACACACACACCCAGCGUGGGAAGAGGAGCAGCUGAGGUGACCAGGAGGUGACGGAUGCUCUCACUCUUCAUCACAAAAUAUUCAGAGAACACCAUUCCAGCUCCUUGAGAUCUACGGUGUCCAGAGCAACCCCAGAUUCCUCCAUCAUUAUAAAUCCCUGACUAAAAGAAAGCAGCCAGAAGAUUUUCCCCUGUGAAAUGGCCCAAAGUCAUCCCAUCAGUCUUUCUCAAAGGUGCACUGGGCGCCUUUCAUCAUUAUCACAUUAUAAAUGAAUUUGUUAAGAAAUAUGUGCUUGCUGACUACAAUGUGCCAGUCACUGUGCUGGAUGCUUGGGAUGUAGCAAUGAAUAAACAAACCUAUCAAGAUUCCUGCCCUCAGGGAGGGUACAGUCUGGCAGGGGAGACAGACACACAAUAAAGAUAAUAAAUUAAAUGGCAUGUUAGAAGGUGAUGGAACUAAGGAAAGAAAAGAAAGGAAAAGCCAUCAUUUACUUCAUCAUUCGCGUUUUAGUUUUUCUUUAGCUCCAACAUUUAGAAUACCCCCAAAUAUUUUCUUCAUAUUAUAAUUUCUUAUUCUUUAGUUUUUUUCGUUGCUAGCGUGACUACAGUAUUGCUUGAGACUAAUUUCAUUCUAUAUGAAUACACUUUAUGCAUUGCGUAAUGUGGAAGUGCCUUGGCUCUGUUCAGUGAAACAUUUUCUAAAUUUUCCUUUCAAUACUACCACAACUUGGGCAGAAAGAGCAUUUUACAGACAAAAAGCCCAAGGUUCAUGGAGUCUUUGAAAAGCUGAGUGUCUUGAAUUUUUUUUUUUUCUCAGUAUUCUUUUUCAGACUUAAGUGGGAAAUAUUUUUGUUUUGCUUCAAUUUUUUUCAAAACAAUUAUUUAGAGCAAACCUG
rnacentral:lncRNA from 10 species